rnacentral:rRNA from 1 species
UACGAAGGGGGGCUAGCGUUGCUCGGAAUGACUGGGCGUAAAGGGCGCGUAGGCGGCUUGGCAAGCUCAGGCGUGAAAUUCCGUGGGCUCAACCUGGGGGGCUGCGCUUGAGACUGCUGGGCUUGAGGAUGGAAGAGGCUCGUGGAAUUCCCAGUGUAGAGGUGAAAUUCGUAGAUAUUGGGAAGAACACCGGUGGCGAAGGCGGCGAGCUGGUCCAUUACUGACGCUGAGGUGCGAAAGCGUGGGGAGCAAACAGG